CUAGAUCUAGAUCUAAGUUCUCUAGCCACACCCUUUAAUAACCUUUCCACUCGCUGUCACGUAACAUUGCAAUUUCCUGUAUUCUGCAUCGAUACCACGUACCACCUCCAGCUUUCAGCUCACUGCCAGCAGUCCUUCUGAUGGGAAGACUGCGUUAUGACCAAGAAAACAAGCUGCUUCUGUACAGCGCAGCACUGGAGCAAGUGGGACUACAACAUUCUGAUCCCAAGUCUCCUCAGGAAGCAGCUUGAAGACGGGCAGUCCAGAUUGCCACCAAGGAAGACGUGACAUGGCCUCAGAUGACGAUUGAAAUAGUUGACACAAAAACUACUGCAAUCAUAGUGAGCCAAAUGACCUUCACCAUACACAUAGGAUCUGUCCAUAAAAUGUAAAAGAGAUAAAAUGAAGCAGGAAAUCACUGGCAGAGGAAAGCAGAACAUUCUGUAUUGGUAGGUUUUUGGACAAUGACUAUCCCUUCAGAUUAAAAUUUUAAACAAAAUAGAAGAUUAUGCCUUUUACUUUCAGCUUUCUUUGUUCUUUGAAAUUAAGUUUCCUACCUAAAAUCUAGCUUCAUUUUCACCUGCAUCUAUCCCCCCAUGUCUCAUAUAACAGUACAUAGCUAAGUGAAUGAAAACUUCCCCUAUUUGUAUAAAGUAUUACAUGCAACUCAGCCAGGAAGAAAAUGUUUCACUGAUCAACAUUUAUAUUUAAGGUAGAAGAAGGGCAAUAUAUAUCCUCUCUUUGUUUGGCUGGAGCACAGAAGGAAUUGGUCCACUGUCCAACACUGGCCUGUACUGGCAUCCUCAACCUCCUGGUCCAUCUUCAUGUACAGAAGAAGGUAAGAUUCUAUGCAUAGACAUUUUCUUACCAAAAAGUGAGGAAAUGUCACCAACACGACCCCUCUGGGGAGGUCUUUAACCAAAGCUGCCUUGGGGGAGACUCAGCGUGGGACUGAGCUUAGGACGUAGGCUGCUCUUUCAGACAACAGCUGCUGCAGAAAUGCACCCACAUUCUGCAGGGAAUUAGUUCAGUAACAAGUACAAGCCAGGACUACACACCGCAGAGAAAGGAUGUGGGGAACUUUCCUCCCUGGUUGUUUGAAAGACCUUUCAAACUUCUUUGGCAGCUGCAUGUUAAUGCAUACCUUAGCAUUGUCAAAUAACUAUUUUAAACCCCAACUAUGUUACUAUGAGUCAUAUAAAAGCAAAUUAUAGACUAUAGCCAAACCAGUGUUUUCCUUUCCUUGACUUAAAAUAAUAUAAUUAGACCUACAUCAACUUCCCUUGUGUAUCUUUUCCACUGAGAAGUCAUGAGGUAACUGCCAAGAACCCCAUGGCUCUUUGAGGUAAGCACAGCUCAUCCCUCCUAAUUCAGCACUAAAAAUAUCUUCUAUACAGUCAUUUAGGCUUCUUUCAAACAGAGUACUCUACCGCGCCUUGUAGUGACUUGUAAUGACUUGUCCAUCACCAUUACCUAGGCAAAGACCUGAGCACCUCUAUAGCUUUGUUUUGAAGUAAAGAGAACAAAAAUGUGUUGUUAAAUUGGGAUAACUACUUCCCAGGUAAAUCACCAUUGGCAAAUGGUGGUUAGUUCAUAUUUCCGACACAAGUUAGCAGGGCAAGUUACAAACUAUACUCCUCUCAUAGCUAGACCUAGUUAUUUAAACAAACAAACACACACACACACACACAAAAACCCCACAAAAACCAAACAACUAAGCUGCCCUCUCUACAGUUUCACCUGGAUUUAUUUAACAUAGGUUUAGCCAACUGCAAAACAGGUAUUGUUUCCCAGGAAAGUUAUGGCAGAAAAUGCAUUUGCCGUACAAAACUAAAUGAAUGUAACAAUUCAGCAAUUCCCAGAUGGCAAAUGUUGUACACAGACAGGCUGGAAUCCCUGACCAUGGUCAGGCAAUCAGCCAAAACACUCUUAGAGCACAAAGAGAAAUGUAAAAAGCUGACAGGCUGUCCCCUGGGAAAACGAAGCCUACUUCAGCUGAAGAUUUCUCUUUUGAGAGUACUGUAGUAAGGAUAUUGCAGUACGACAUUAAGAGAAGUCAAACCUGUCUCCUGGUUCUUCUGCCACUAAAAUUAACAGGAAUUAUUUAAUUUACCACCAAGACAACAGGGUUAUACCAUUAUGAGGAACAGGAGAGGAAAAAAGUAAUUCUGGCUUUUCUCAUACAUGCAAUUUGUGUGUCUGUCACUGCUAAGCAAAAGCAAAACAAAACAACAACAAAACAAACAAACAAAACAACAAACACUUACUUUGCUCUGUUGUUUCUAGGAAAGAAAAAGUCAGCUGCUUUAAAUCACUAUAAAAACUGUCAGUUGCCUCCUAAAGACAGUCUUUUACUAAGGGAUGAUCAAAAUUGCAUUGUUUUCUUGUGAAAUAUUUAAAUACUUUCAAAUGGUUGCUGAAAGCAUAGAACUACCUACUGGAGAUUUUUUGCAAGAUUAAUAUUGUUUCUGGCUUGAUUUCCCUUCUGACUGCUUUGUAACUUACAUUCCAC